GUGAGCCAAGGAUGAGUUCAAGUUAUCCCUGUCUGAAAUUACCUCUUUUGUGAGGAGCUCCGACUUACUGAGGCUCAU
ensembl:snoRNA